GACUGAUAGGAGCCUGGUGUGGACAGGCAAGCAGAAGGGGUGGAAGGUGGCAGCAUGGAAGGACACCCAGCUGCCAGAGCUCCUGCUUCCUGCCUGGUGGGGCUGCUGUGGGUGUCACUGCUUCUGAGCGGCUGAUGGAGCCCAGCAGCCCCCAGGCCUUUGAGUGGAGUGGACCCUCACUCACAUGGGACACCAGGACAUGCACCCCAGUUCCGACACCACAGCCCGGGGCCUCUCUUUUCCUGAUGACCUUGGCAUGACAGCCUGCAGCCAGCACCCUGCAGUCAUCAUGAGCGCUGGCCUUCCCAAGGGACGACCCUGCAGCCAUGCUAAGGCAGGUUCUCUCAGGCUGAUCACAAUUCCUAAUGGGAAAAGCAGCUUCCUCCGCGGGCAGCCGGGCCACCUCUGUCAGGAAGGCCUCUGGGCUCCUUCAGUCCUAAGGAAGGUGGUGCUGAGCCCGCACCGCCCUCCACCUGCAGCGGUGCUGGAUCUGUGGGGACAGCCCGGGGAGGAGCGGCCCCGGCUGUCCCUCUCCAGCAGCGACGGCAUCUCUGUGGCCCUGUUCUCUGGGGCUCACUCCAAGCCGGCGCCCAAACACUGGACGUGCCUGUGACCAGCUCCACGUGGCAUCAGGCAUCUGUGGUCCUCUCCCCGCCACCACGUCUCAUGUCCCACAGCCUCCCACCGUGUCUCAGAAUUGGAGCUCUCUCAAACCUAGUCUGGCACCACAUUUUGUAUCUGGAGAUGUGCUGAUGCUUCCUGUAUCCUGAUAGUUCUUCCUGGCUGUUCAGGAAGGGUCUGCCAGGGUCUUUCUGCUGUGUAAGAAACAUUAACAAAUAAACAAACAGUUGGGGGAGUGAGUUGCCCAAGGUCACGUGAUUUGUAGAUGUCAGGCAUCCUGACUUUUUGACUAGUGUUUUCUGCUUUUAUACAAUUAAGUCAAAACUCAUGUCUGUUUUUGAGAUCAAUUUUAGAAAGUGCAGUCAACUUAGAACAAACGUUGUUUUACAAAACUUUGCCUUGAACAUUACUAUUUUUCCCCAGUGCUUUCUGUGGAUUGUAUGAGCUCAUGGGGUUAAUAGUACAAGUUUUUUCUCACUUAAUGUCAGUAAUCUGUUCUUGAAAACCAUAAAUACUACAGCAAAUUACUAGAAGCUUAUUUCCACUAUUUAAAAUGAGAAAACUAGACUGAAUCACAUUGUUACUCCUACUUACUUUCUUAAACUAUAAAUAAAAUAAUACCAUGCUCAUGUAUAAGUAAGAGACAUUUAAAACAUAGUCUCAAUGAUCUCAGGACAGUUUGUGUGACUCCCGUGACCCGCCUUAGUGCCAGCACCUCACUGACGUCCAUCUUGGUGACGUUUAUCAUGCUUAUGAAAACCUCUGUGUGUGAAGCUCCACUAAUUGUAAUCGGCAUGUAGUUAAUUCUUUCUCCUACUCACCAAUAUGUUAAAAACAUACUGAAUUCUGGGAAAUUAGAGCUACCAGCAUUUGAUGUAUAACAAAUCAGCCAAAACUUCCUGGUUUUAAAAACAACCAUUUUAUUUGUUUAUGAUUUUGGGUUGGGCUUCUUGGGCAGUACCUAUGCUGGUGUCACCUGGGAGCACAACUGAGGUUGUAGUCUUCUGGUGCCUUGACUGAGGCUGGUUCCUGGAAGAGGACUUCACUCACAUGUCUGGUGGUUUGUGCUGACUCUUGGUUGGUCCCUGUGAAUCCAACAGGCAAGUACCAAGCUUCUUCCCAAGAUGAUAGUAUUCCAAGAAGGGAAACUUUGUUUGGGCAAAUACUUUACAGAACUAUGUUUGUGUUUCAUUUACUGGUGUCCCAUUAGACAAAGUAAGUGCACCUGCAAAGCCCAUGGUCAUUUGGGGAGGGAAAUUCAUGAACACAUGGACACAGAAAGGUGUUUCAUUGGGAACCACUACUGGAAAAGUGUACUACAAUAAAUAUAUAUUAUGUA